GCCUAGUUAGCUUAGUUGGUAGUGCGUCUGCCUUGUAAGCGCUAGGCCGCGGGUUCGAUUCCCGCCCGAGCG
rnacentral:tRNA from 1 species